rnacentral:rRNA from 1 species
AUUUAAUUGAAGAGUUUGAUCAUGGCUCAGAUUGAACGCUGGCGGCAGGCCUAACACAUGCAAGUCGAACG